GAUCCUGGCUCAGGAUGAACGCUAGCUACAGGCUUAACACAUGCAAGUCGAGGGGCAGCAUGGUCUUAGCUUGCUAAGGCCGAUGGCGACCGGCGCACGGGUGGGUAACACGUAUCCAACCUGCCGUCUACUCUUGGACAGCCUUCUGAAAGGAAGAUUAAUACAAGAUGGCAUCAUGAGUUCGCAUGUUCACAUGACUAAAGGUAUUCCGGUAGACGAUGGGG
rnacentral:rRNA from 1 species